rnacentral:rRNA from 1 species
UACGUAGGGCGCAAGCGUUGUCCGGAAUUAUUGGGCGUAAAGAGCGUGUAGGCGGCCCAGGUAGGUCUGGUGUGAAAACUCGAGGCUUAACCUCGAGAUGUCAUCGGAAACCAUCUGGCUAGAGUCCGGAAGAGGAGAGUGGAAUUCCUGGUGUAGCGGUGAAAUGCGCAGAUAUCAGGAAGAACACCAAUGGCGAAAGCAGCUCUCUGGGACGGUACUGACGCUGAGACGCGAAAGCGUGGGGAGCGAACAGG